rnacentral:rRNA from 1 species
CCUACGGGCGGCAGCAGUGGGGAAUAUUGGACAAUGGGGGGAACCCUGAUCCAGCCAUGCCGCGUGUGUGAAGAAGGACCUCGGGUUGUAAAGCACUUUCAGGGAGGAAGAACGCCUGGUGGUUAAUACCCAUCAGGAAAGACAUCACUCACAGAAGAAGCACCGGCUAACUCCGUGCCAGCAGCCGCGGUAAUACGGAGGGUGCGAGCGUUAAUCGGAAUUACUGGGCGUAAAGCGCGCGUAGGUGGCUUGAUAAGCCGGUUGUGAAAGCCCCGGGCUCAACCUGGGAACGGCAUCCGGAACUGUCAAGCUAGAGUGCAGGAGAGGAAGGUAGAAUUCCCGGUGUAGCGGUGAAAUGCGUAGAGAUCGGGAGGAAUACCAGUGGCGAAGGCGGCCUUCUGGACUGACACUGACACUGAGGUGCGAAAGCGUGGGUAGCAAACAGGAUUAGAUACCCCGGUAGUC